rnacentral:misc_RNA from 1 species
GAUGAAGAACGUAGCGAAAUGCGAUAAGUAAUGUGAAUUGCAGAAUUCAGUGAAUCAUCGAAUCUUUGAACGCACAUUGCGCCCAACAGUAUUCUGUUGGGCAUGCCUGUCCGAGCGUCAUUUCAACCCUCAGGGCCCGUUCGCGGGAACUGGUGUUGGGGAUCGGCCUCCCCCCGGAGGCCGGCCCCGAAAUGCAGUGGCGGCUCUACCGCGAUCUCCUCUGUGUAGUAGCGAUACCUCGCAGCUGGAUAGUGGUGGUGCCACGCCGUAAAAUCCCAACUUUACCAAGGUUGACCUCGGAUCAGGUAGGAAUACCCGCUGAACUUAAGCAUAUCAAUAAGCGGAGGA